GUGGGGAAUUUUGGACAAUGGGCGAAAGCCUGAUCCAGCCAUGCCGCGUGUGUGAAGAAGGUCUUCGGAUUGUAAAGCACUUUAAGUUGGGAGGAAGGGCAGUAAGUUAAUACCUUGCUGUUUUGACGUUACCGACAGAAUAAGCACCGGCUAACUUCGUGCCAGCAGCCGCGGUAAUACGAAGGGUGCAAGCGUUAAUCGGAAUUACUGGGCGUAAAGCGCGCGUAGGUGGUUUUGUAAGUUGGAGGUGAAAUCCCCGGGCUCAACCUGGGAACUGCCUUCAAAACUGCAUGACUAGAGUACGGUAGAGGGUAGUGGAAUUUCCUGUGUAGCGGUGGAAUGCGUAGAUAUAGGAAGGAACACCAGUGGCGAAGGCGACUACCUGGACUGAUACUGACACUGAGGUGCGAAAGCGUGGGGAGCAAACAGGAUUAGAUACCCCAGUAGUCC
rnacentral:rRNA from 1 species